rnacentral:rRNA from 1 species
UACGUAGGGGGCAAGCGUUGUCCGGAAUCAUUGGGCGUAAAGAGCGUGUAGGCGGUCCGGUCAGUCGGUUGUGAAAGUCAAGGGCUCAACCCUUGAAUGCCGGCCGAUACUGCCGGGCUAGAGUCCGGAAGAGGUGAGUGGAAUUCCUGGUGUAGCGGUGAAAUGCGCAGAUAUCAGGAGGAACACCGGUGGCGAAGGCGGGUCUCUGGGCCGAUACUGACGCUGAGGCGCGACAGCGUGGGGAGCAAACAGG